rnacentral:miRNA from 8 species
CAGGCCAUGAUGUGCUGCAGCA